AUUACUACUACUACUACUACAUGGACGUCUGGGGCAAAGGGACCACGGUCACCGUCUCCUCAGGU